CAGAUGAGGAGCACAAUCAAUUGCUAAAAACAUUGCCCAUUGAUGCUAAUGGAAAGGUGUUUCUAAACAGGUUGCCGAAAGAUGUAAAGCAUAAUAAAAGAGAGGAAGUUGAUGUUGAUGACUUGAAAACAAUUCUAGGAAACAUGGGGAUAGAGCUUACGGAUAAAGAACUCACAGAACUGGUAAAUAAUCUGCCAGUUGAUGGUGAGUAUUUCAAAUAAAAAUGUAAUCUUCCAGGGAGGCUUACAGUUAAACUUUGAAAACUUCUAAAACUAUCUAACUUUAAAAAUAAUCUAUGACCCAUAUUACGUAAUUUUAAAUGACCCCAUUAUAUUUUAAAAGAUUAUUUGUGCC
rnacentral:lncRNA from 1 species